rfam:Cavia porcellus supercont2_69 genomic scaffold, whole genome shotgun sequence.
GGUUUAGCUCAGUGGCAUAAGCACCUGCCUUGCAAGCAGGUGGACGUGAGUUCGAUUCCCGGUACCG